rnacentral:rRNA from 1 species
CGGGAGGCAGCAGUUAGGAAUCUUCCGCAAUGGGCGCAAGCCUGACGGAGCGACGCCGCUUGGAGGAUGAAGCCCUUCGGGGUGUAAACUCCUGAACUGGGGGCGAAAUCCCUGAUGAGGGGGCUGACGGUACCCAGGUAAUAGCGCCGGCCAACUCCGUGCCAGCAGCCGCGGUAAUACGGAGGGCGCGAGCGUUACCCGGAUUUACUGGGCGUAAAGGGCGUGUAGGCGGUUUGGCGCGUCUGGCGUUAAAGACCGCGGCUCAACCGUGGGGGUGCGCUGGAUACGGCCAAGCUAGACGGCUGGAGGGGGUGGUGGAAUUCCCGGAGUAGCGGUGAAAUGCGCAGAUACCGGGAGGAACGCCGAUAGCGAAGGCAGCCACCUGGCCAGUUUGUGACGCUGAGGCGCGAGAGCGUGGGGAGCAAACCGGAUUAGAUACCCGGGUAGUCCACGCCCUAAAC